rnacentral:lncRNA from 1 species
UCAAAUGUAUCCUAUUAGGUAGCAGUUAGGAAGAGAGAGAGAAACUUAUUUCUUUGUAACUUCAUCCAAAGUUAUAAAAACUCAACCUCUUUUCCUCAAAUCUAUUCCUUUGUUCUUCAAAUACUUUCUAGGUUUGAGAUAUAGAGAAAGAAGCAUAAGGCCUCUAUCUAGUAACUAUAGCCAAGAGAGGGCGUACCGGUGAAGCAGACUCUCAUAUCUAGACGACUCGGAGAACUAAGUCAUAAACUUAUCAGGUAUAACUCUCUGUCCCUAUCCGCUAGGUAAAACUAGCUAUCUUGAGGCAUAAUUUACAGUGUGUAUGCUCUUUUCUUGUGGUAAAAAUCCGAUAUGAAAAAUCAAAAAUACUGUAAGCAUCGGCCAUUCUCUGGACCCCAUAUAUUCUGGUAUUAGAGCCUAUGGUUACUUUAUUACGGGAAAUUAUUGGAAACUUUGAAUACUUAAGUUAUACACUCUUCUUAAAAAGGAAACACUUUCUACCACGAUGUGUAACCCUAAGUUAAGAUAAAACUUAUCGAUAGUUACUGGUUUACCAAUGUUAAGUUAAAACAUAACUAGCAACCAUAGGGGAGAUAAAUCCUAAUGAAGCUAAUAGAUCUCUCUAUUAUUUAGAUAUUUCUAUACCUAAUGUUCAUAAGUACCGUACUUGUAAUAGUAAUAAUUGAAUAAAUUGUAAUGUUAGACAAAAAGUAGAAAUACAUUGUACUCACAUUUGGCAUAACAUUAACGAUACUCCAGAAAAUAAACAAUUAAACACCAUUGUAGACUUGAUAAUUAAUCUUUUAGAGAAUUUAUAUAAUAGUGACCGAAAAAAUAAUUCAAGAUUUAAAGCACAUAAUACGACAAAAAAACAUCUUCUAAUAAUUCAUGAGAAAUGAACUUAUUACAAAAGAUAAUAAACAACCAAGGGUUAUAAAGGCACAAAUAGAAAAGUAAAAGGACUGAAAAAAGAUUAAAUAAAGUCGAUAAAUUCCCAUCUAAGAAAAGCAUACAAGAACUAGUUGAACUUCCUAAAGCAAUAGAAAAACAAACCAUAAAAUUUUCAAGAAGAAAAUAGUAAACAAAUAAAAAACCUAGAGGAAAGAAUAAACACUUUAACCGACAUGUUUGUUAGUCAUUAAAUAAGUCUUAACAAUAAUAAGAAAAAAGUUUUAUAUAAUAACACAAAAGACCUACUAGAAAGACAGGUAAUUGAAAAUGGACUUUCUGGUGUCCAAGCUAAUUACUUAAUUUCAAAGCACGAUAAAGUUCAAGUAUCUUAGGACUGUUUGAUAAUCUUAGGAGUAACUCAAUUUACAGAUUUACAAGAUUAAGACUAGAAGAUUUCUCCUUAACUACGAACGCCCAAAUGUACAUGUACAUCAAGAUGGUUUUUUUUUUUAACCGCGCCUUCAUCUAAACUAAAAGAAAUGGCUUUGGGAAUCCGAUACAAAAAUGGGUAUUUUCUGAAAGUGAUAAAAUGAAAUGAAAUGCCCUCAGAUCUCUUAGCUUUAUGGUAUUGUCAUGCUCGGGGUUGUUCUUCAAGUACCUGGCAAUGUACAUAACACAACUAAUAUAAAUGUAUAUAUGAGUCCUAUAUAUAUUGGCUUAUUUUGAUAUUUUUUCAACUUUUACGCAGAUGGAAAAUGCCUGAAAUGCUGACAGUGGAUAUCUAUAAUCCAUGGUAAACGUGUCCUUCCUAACUUUACCAAACUAGAGAAUUAUCUUGUUGUGGUCUGAUUGCGCUGGCUACGAUGGUGUUGGCACUCCGACUGCUGGUUGGUUUGCAGCAAUCAGUUGUAAAUUCUUCAUAGAUGCAACGGUUACACGUCCCCAGAAGUUCAGGCCCCAACAUUGUAACUGUUCAAUGCCAUCUUGGCGCUCUGUUCCUGAGUAUCAAUGGCUUGUACUUCCCUUCAUCCUCUUCAUCACGGGUUUCAACAAUGUCUGAGAAUUUGGAACUACUAAACUCAGAUGAGUUGUCAAUUGAAUUUGAGAAAGAGAUGCUCCUAAAUGAGUCUUUAAGGGAUAGAGGGAUAAGUACCGGUUGUCCAGGGACAAUGCCACUUGGCUCAACAGUUCAGGUAGGAAUUGAGUACAUACUACAAUGCAUCCUACAUUGUCCCCCUAGCACCUAGGACGUUUAGCUCGUAUGAAACCUAAGCAAUGUUGUAGCUACCGGUAGGAACCCUUGGGGAGUCUUUUUCCGAAUAGAACCUUUAGCUUCUACCAGGUGGUGAAAGCUGAGCAUUAUUGUAUGGAGGUUGGGUGUCAUAAAUUAUGAAUUUUGUACGAAGAAAGUUGGACCUAAAUUUUCAAAAAUUAACAUAUAAAAAUUGGGAUAAGAAUCUC